UACAGAGGAGCCAAGCGUUGUCCGGAUUGACUGGGCGUAAAGCGCACGCAGGCGGCCCGGCGCGUGGGGUGUGAAAGCUGGCGGCUUAACUGCCAGACGCCAUCCCAUACGGCUGGGCUCGAGCCCUGCAGAGGUCCAUGGAAUUGCCGGUGUAGUGGUGAAAUGCGUAGAGAUCGGCAGGAACACCCAGGGGGAAACCAGUGGACUGGGCAGGAGCUGACGCUCAGGUGCGAAAGCGUGGGGAGCGAACCGG
rnacentral:rRNA from 1 species